UCAAGCUUUUAUUAAUGAAAGUGUUCAAGGCCAUCUCUGGAUGGAUAUUACAGACUGCAUUCACUGUGCUCUCCAGUUUAUGAAAAGCAAUUGUUUAGCUGUAUAGAGAGUAGAGAGCAGAAUUAAAUUGACCUACAUGAUACAGAAAGUAGCACGGAGCCCAUUUAACUAAGAGUCCUUUGAAAGAAAUCUUUUUUAUUAUAGACGAGUGCUGAAAUUAUUUCAAGGAAGUGAUUAUCUGUCUAAUAAUUUUUAAUGCAUGAGUGAUUUCAGCGUAUAAAAAUUAGAGCUAACUGAGAUAUGUUUAAAAUAUUAUAAGCAGCACAGAUAGCUGAAUGUUUAAGGCUUGGUGUUUUAUGAGAUACAUUAUGAUUACUGGGGAAAAAAUCCCAAACUAUCCAGUCAGGGUAGUGGAGAUAAAAUUGGUGUAGAUAAGGGCAUUUUGGUGUGUAUAAAGCUAUUGGUCCAAGAUAGAGCCACAUAAAAUCACAAAUAUAAUUGUUGCUGUUUGAGAGAGCAAAUCAGUCAUUACAGCACCUAGUUCUUCAUAGGAAUGAAUUUGGAAGGUUCUCUGACAGGGCACCAUUAGCGUAGGCCAUGCGAUACCUGAUUAGACAAGAUGGACUUCACUGUAAUUUUUUUCAAUCCCGUUUGCAUACCUGGCCAAAACGGGGUGUGGGUGAUGGCAGGACCACCUCCCAAUUAUGUGCCUGUGCAAUCAGUCACGGGUUUCAAAACCUGACAGUUUACAGGUGCGACCCUUAGGAACCUGACCCAAGCCACACCCUCUUUCCAUUGACUUGAUUGUUGGCUCAUGGGAUCUUUGGUGGGUUCAGCCCUGAACCAGAGCAUUUCACUGGAAAGCUCCAUACAUUGUUCACCCCAGAGGUGCAUGUGUCUUAGGAUGGGUGGUUGGUUUUUUAAAAAUCCCUGAGCUUGUAAAUCACUGAGUAGGAGAGAGACCUGAAUUAGGCACUGGCCUUUGGGAGCUUUCCCGGGUGCAAUGGGCAGAGUGACUGGGAGGGGUGCGUUUGCUGGUCCUCUGCUGAGAUGAAACAGUUGUUCCCCGCGAACAAUAUGUAUUAGGCAGGCGAAAUCUCCACCCCAGCGCGUUUGUGGAGUGAGGCGCUGCUAAUGCACAUUGAUUAAGCGCCGCCAACAAUCGCUCCUCACACCAGGCCCGGGCGUGAGUUUGCCUAGAUCCUAAGGACACUAUUCACACUUCCCUCCCCACAAAGCCUCAUUUAGAGCCCUGUGUUUGGUAAAUAGCCCCAUUGAAGUCUUGUGUUGUUUUUUCCGCAGGGGACUCUAGAGAGGAGACAAAUAGAUGACUAAUGAAGGGGAGAAGGGGGAGUCGCAGGAAAAUGAGUUCUCCUGCGCACAAAAGAGUUGGUUUGAUGAUCAGAUCCCUACAGCGAUGAAGCGAUGUUCGUUCACAGGAUAGCCAAAUCCCUAAUAAGAGUUUAAAACACCAAGUUAGACUAGCUGAGACAUUCAGCUUUAGGAGGAGCUGCAGUGAAUGUAUAAUUACCAUUACCCAGAAGAAUUUUGA